rnacentral:lncRNA from 1 species
UUCUUUUUCUUUCCGCUGUUGGGCUUCUUGCUCAGAUGCGGCCCGUAUCAUGUUUUUUCCCUUGGGCGGAUUUAGCUAAUUUUUCCAGAGACUAACUGUUUUACACAAACCCCCCUGUUGUUCAUGCAUAUUUUAUCUCUCAAACGGUGCAUCAUAUUAAAAAACUUAAUAUAUGAAACUUGCUUAGAAUUUUGUGUAGUUUAAUAAUAUGCCAUUUUCAAUCAUGUUUAAAAUGCCUAAAAUGUUGUUUGCUUUAAUUUGCCCCUAUGCCAUGCUAAAAUGUUUUCAUUCAUAACUAAAUAACCGUAACUCCGAAUUUAACAAACUUUAUAUGUACAUGGGGUAGAAUUUUGCAUAGUUUAACAUGGUGGCAUCUCUUUGCAUGUUUCACAACUCUAAAAUUGUGUUUAGGGCAGAACAGUACCAGAACCAAAAUAUGCACAUGAGGAGUUUCCGGACUUGUUGUUUGUCGUUCCGGCCUCGUUUAAACUUGCCUAGAUAGGUAGUUUUCCUUUGCUUCACCCUCUUGCCAUGCUAACAACAUUUAAUCUUGUUUGGUACAUAAACGAGAUCGAACUAAAUAAGUCAUGUGGUAUUUCGUCAAUAUGCAACGGAGUUGCAUGUUGAGCUCCACUUAAUUUGUAGGAUUGUUUGUGCAUUUUGCCAUGCCUUGCCUCUUUAAACCGGACAUGCAUCAUACUUGAUUGUGCAUCAUGCCAUGUUCAUGUGUUGGUUGUUUACUAUGUUGUGUGUUUCUUUCCGGUGUUGCUUCUUCGGGUUGGUUCCAAUAACGUCGUGUUGUGAGGAUUCGUUCGACUUCGUCCGUUUGUCUUCUUCAUGGACUCGUUCUUCUUCCUUGCGGGAUCUCAGGCAAGAUGACCAUACCCUCGAAAUCACUUCUAUCUUUGCUUGCUAGUUGCUCGCUCUUUUGCUAUGCCUAUGCUGCGAUACCUACCACUUGCUUAUCAUGCCUCCUAUAUUGUUGAACCAAGCCUCUAACCCACCUUGUCCUAGCAAACCGUUGUUUGGCUAUGUUACCGCUUUGCUCAGCCCCUCUUAUAGCAUUGUUAGUUGCAGGUGAAGAUUGAAGUUUGUUCCUUGUUGGAACAUGGAGAUGUUGUUCCUUGUUGGAACAUGUUUACUUGUUGGGAUAUCACAAUAUCUCUUAUUUAAUUAAUGCAUCUAUAUACUUGGUAAAGGGUGGAAGGCUCGGCCUUAUGCCUGGUGUUUUGUUCCACUCUUGUCGCCCUAGUUUCCGUCAUAUCGGUGUUAUGUUCCCAGAUUUUGCGUUCCUUACGCGGUUGGGUUAUAAUGGGAACCCCUUGACAGUUCGCCUUGAAUAAAACUCUUCCAGCAAGGCCCAACAUUGGUUUUACCAUUCGCCACCUAGCCUUUUCUUUCCCUUGGGUUCUGCAGGCUCAAGGGUCAUCUUAUUUUAACCCCCCCCCGGGCCAGUGCUUCUCUAAGUGUUGGUCCAACUGAGCGAUGUCCGGAGCUACCAGGGGCAACUCUGGGCUGGCCCACCCGACGUCUGGCUCAUUUGGUGUGCCCUGAGAACGAGAUAUGUGCAGCUCCUAUCGGGAUUUGUCGGCACAUCUGGGUGGCUUUGCUGGUCUUGUUUUACCAUUGUCGAAAUGUCUUGUGACCAGGAUCCCAAGUCUGAUCGGGUCUUCCCGCUAGAAGGAAUAUCCUUCGUUGACCGUGAGAGCUUGUGAUGGCUAAGUUGGGACACCCCUGCAGGGAUUCGAACUUUCGAAAGUCGUGCCCAUGGUUAUGGCCAGAUGGGAAUUUGUUAAUGUCCAGUUGUAGAAAACCUGAAGUUGACCUUAAUUAAAAUACAUCAACCGCGUGUGUUACCGUGAUGGUCUCUUCUCGGCGGAGUCCGGGAAGUGAACAUGGUGUUGGAGUUACGCUUGACGUAGGUUGUUCUAGGAUCACUUCUUGAUCAUAGUUGUUCGACCAUGCUUUUCCAUUCUCUUCUCGCUCUCUUUUGCGAAUAGGUUAGCCACCAUAUAUGCUAGUCGCUUGCUGCAGCUCCACCUCAUACCUUGUACCCUUCCUAUAAGCUUAAAUAGUCUUGAUCGCGAGGGUGUGAGAUUGCUGAGUCCCCGUGACUCACAGAUACUUCCAAAACCAGCUUGCAGGUGCCGUUGAACCGUGCGGAUGACGCAACCGAGCUCAAGGAGGAGCUCGAGGAAGAUCUUGUCCUUUAUGUUGUUUCGUUCUAGUUGAUCAGUAGGUGAGCCCAGUUGGGGUUGAUCGGGGAUCUGUGUAGCAUUUGGGGUAGUCUUCUUUUAUUUUGGUUCCAUAGUCGGACCUUGUUUGUAUAUGGAUGAUGUAAUGCUUUAUUCAUGUAUUUGUGUGAAGUGGCGAUUGUAAGCCAACUAUGUAUCUCUUUCCCUUAUGUAUUACAUGGGUUGUGUGAACAUUA